GAUGAACGCUGGCGGCGUGCCUAAUACAUGCAAGUCGAGCGAACGGACGAGAAGCUUGCUUCUCUGAUGUUAGCGGCGGACGGGUGAGUAACACGUGGAUAACCUACCUAUAAGACUGGGAUAACUUCGGGAAACCGGAGCUAAUACCGGAUAAUAUUUUUAACCGCAUGGUUCAAAAGUGAAAGACGGUCUUGCUGUCCCUUAUAGAUGGAUCCGCGCUUCAUUAGCUAGUUGGUAAGGUAACGGCUUACAAAGGCAACGAUGCAUAGCCGACCUGAGAGGGUGAUAGGCCACACUGGAACUGAGACACGGUCCAGACUCCUAGGGGAGGCAGCAGUAGGGAAUCUUCCGAAAUGGGCGAAAGCCUGACGGAGAAACGCCGCGUGAGUGAUGAAGGUCUUCGGAUCGUAAAACUCUGUUAUUAGGGAAGAACAUAUGGGUAAGUAACUGUGCACAUCUUGACGGUAACUAAUCAGAAAGCCACGGCUAACUACGUG
rnacentral:rRNA from 1 species